AUACUUACCUGGCAGGGGAGACACUGUGAUCACCAAGGCAGUUCUCCCAGGGCGAGGCUCACCCAUUGCACUCCGGGUGUGCAAGAGGUACCUGGACUUGGCGAAGCGGCACACCCUGCCUUUUUGCUGGAUACGGGAUGGCACGUUCUAGCC
rnacentral:snRNA from 1 species